CCCCAGACUCCUACGGGAGGUAGCAGUGGGGAAUAUUGGACAAUGGGGGGAACCCUGAUGCAGCGACGCCGCGUGGGUGAAGGAGUGCUUCGGCAUGUAAAGCCCUAUCGGCAGGGAAGAAACAGACGGUACCUGACUAAGAAGCCCCGGCUAACUACGUGCCAGCAGCCGCGGUAAUGCGUAGGGGGCAAGCGUUAUCCGGAUUCACUGGGUGUAAAGGGAGCGUAGACGGCGACGCAAGUCUGAAGUGAAAGGCGGGGGCCCAACCCCCGGACUGCUUUGGAAACUGUAUAGCUGGAGUGCAGGAGAGGUAAGUGGAAUUCCUAGUGUAGCGGUGAAAUGCGUAGAUAUUAGGAGGAACACCAGUGGCGAAGGCGGCUUACUGGACUGUAACUGACGUUGAGGCUCGAAAGCGUGGGGAGCAAACAGGAUUAGAUACCCCUGUA
rnacentral:rRNA from 1 species